rnacentral:misc_RNA from 1 species
GAUGAAGAACGCAGCGAAAUGCGAUACGUAAUGUGAAUUGCAGAAUUCAGUGAAUCAUCGAGUCUUUGAACGCACAUUGCGCCCCCUGGUAUUCCGGGGGGCAUGCCUGUCCGAGCGUCAUUGCUGCCCUCAAGCACGGCUUGUGUGUUGGGCCUCCGUCCUCCUCCCGGGGGACGGGCCCGAAAGGCAGCGGCGGCACCGCGUCCGGUCCUCGAGCGUAUGGGGCUUCGUCACCCGCUCUUGUAGGCCCGGCCGGCGCUUGCCGACACAUCAAUCUUUUUUCCAGGUUGACCUCGGAUCAGGUAGGGACACCCGCUGAACUUAAGCAUAUCAAUAAGCGGAGGA